AAUACUUAAGAUGGGAAAGAUUUAUUCAGUCAAUGAAGGGAAUGCCAAAAAUUGGGAUGCAGCUAUUGCGAAGUUUGUGGAGAAGUGUAAAUAUCUCAAAGAUGGUUCGCCACCUAAAUCUUUGAGAUACAUUGGAAUUUGUAGUUUAUGCAAUGGCUAGAUGGCAGAAGCGUUAACAAGGUACUAUGUCAUCAUCUACCAUGAUUGAAGGAGAAGGACAUUAGCCAAUAACAUGGAGUUUAUUUAGGCAAUUUAGAGGUAGGAAUUAGGCAAUAACAUUAUUGUAGAUGAACAAUAAUAUAAUUCACAAUAAGCAUUUUCCCCAUGUGUAACAAUAAAAAUAUCAACACUAGGAGUGCAAUUUUUUUUUACUUGAUGAUGCCUGAUGUACAGAAUGAAGAUUGGAUGUGCUACUUUUAUUCGGAUUUGCAUGGGGGGAAGGCACUGUCAUCAGUAUCACUAUACUAUCUGCAAAAUAUGUUGUAAGGUAGCAAGUUACGUGUCCUAUUUUUUACGAGGCAAUACUUUUGUUGUAAGAUAAUUGUUGUGUGUAAUAACAUGGAUUUUAAAUGCCCCUAGAAUCCAACUGUAUCUGUAGUUUUCUUAUCUUUUUUAUGUGUUCAGAUUAAAGGAUAAGGACAUUAGCCAAUAACAUGGAGUUUAUUUAGGCAAUUUAUAGGUAGAAAUUAGGCAAUAAUAUUAUUAUAGAUGGGCAAUAAUAUGGUUCCCAAUAAGCAUUUUCCCAUAUAUAACAACAAAAAUAUCAACAAUAGGAGUGUAAAUUUUUUACUUGAUGAUGCCUGAUAUACUAAAUGAAGACUGGAUGUACUAUUUUUAUUCAGAUUUGCAUGGGUGGAAAAGCAAGGGGUGAAUUUGAGCGAUGCUAUGCACCAUUUUUCAAAUUCUAGUUAUCCUUUUUCUUUUUCUUCCUUGAUUUCCUGAUGUACUGAAAACCAACACGAUUAAUUGGAUUGCCUACAAUUUACUGCAGUUUCACCUCUCUGCUCCAGGACGACAGGAAUAACAACUCAAUUCCUCUUGUUUGAGUAGCAGCGGCGCAGGAGUUGUUUUGUCACUGCAACAGCAACAAUGCCUGUCAUCAUUAGCUUAGGUAGAUAAGCAGAUAAGCACUCCAGCAAGGAUUCAGUCAGUGUAUGAAGUAAAAUGCUACUUCUAUGUGGAUGAGAAGAGGAGAACGAUAUAUGGAUGAGAAGAGCAGAACGAUGAGACGAGAACUAUUUUAUGUGGAUGCUCUGUCUAUGAAGUAAAAUGCUACCUUUUAUAGGGAUUUCACCUUAGCUUGCCCUGUUUUGGUGAAGAAACAAUGUUGUUUUGAAUCAUGUUCAUUUGCUUGUACAUUUAUUCUAAUUUGCUUAUAUGUUAUUAUAAUAUGCUUUCAGAUUUUAACAAAAAUGCUUCUCAUUGUAAAGAGAUCGAAAUAUAUUGAAGUGAGAUCUUAUUUUAAAGUUUU